UGAGGGGGUCAGACUCGGCCAUUAGGGCCGCCAUCUUGGGGAGGUCCAAGGAUUUCUACCCGCCCCAACCCUCCCCUCCUUUCUCAGUCCUCCUCCUUGUCGGUGAGCAGCUCAGGCUGCGGGCGGUCUUCCUGAUUUAUUAAAGGCAGAAGAGGAAAAACAAGCUCCAAUGUCCAGAUCUACUUAGUAACCACAUCCACACACUUAGCAGAGGUGAGGGGCCUCUAGGAGGACGUUCUGGAUUCCCCGAGGGCUGCCACGCUGCCUGCCAUCCUGCUGACCUCUCUCUGUCUCAGCAGAGCCUUGUAAUAACAACAGCCAUAAAUCUUUUAGUGGCUUCCAUUCUCCUUCUCCUCCUGCGAAAGCCCUGCACACAUUUAUCAGGUCCUUAAAGAUGCUCGGGACCAUGAGCUCCUUGAUCCGCUUCGUCGCCAGCCUGGUGCAUCUCUCAGGGUUCCCUUGGAACCAUGUUAGGGUCAUACCUGGAGUGGUGGGGCACGGGGAGAGUGUGGCUGAAAAGUGGCAACAAAGUGGGUGCCAUCUCGGCUCAGGUUUUGACUGGGAUGGUCCCAGUGUUGCCCAACUCUGGCCGCCUCAUCUCAGUCUCCUGGGGAAGAGUAGAGCACCUUCAUCUCUCCAGGACAAUGAAGGGGCAAAGGGACUCACAGAGAAAUGCCAGAACAGGUAUAAUGGGCACUUACGUUGCCCGCUUUUCACAAUUGGCUGAAAAUAUAACAAAACUCUCAUUCUUCUGGCCAUGCUUUGAUAUCUGUGGGUAAGAGUUCCUUUAGAGGCAUGGAAUACAUUUGCCGAUGUCAAUAACGAAUUGUGUAUGAAGAAAAAUGUAAUGCUUUCA